UCCGGCGACUGCAACAGGGAUCACGGCUCGGUCUGCUGUAAAGACGGUCACCGCUACCCGCAAUUCAGGUGCUCGCCCCCGGUGUCGGCCGGCACGCCAGCGAUCCUAACUCUGAACAGCUUCGCACGAGGUGGAGACGGCGGCGGCAAAUCGUUCUGCGACAACCGCUUCCACAAGGACACCGAGCUGGUGGUGGCGCUGUCCACGGGGUGGCUGCGCCUGGACGGCAAGCGCAGGUGCAACAAGAUGAUCCGCAUCAACGGGUACGGGCGUGCUGUGCUGGCCAAGGUCGUCGACGAGUGCGACUCGGUGUACGGCUGCGACGCCGAGCACAACUUCGAGCCACCGUGCCCAUACAACGACGUAGACGCGUCACCAGCCGUGUGGAAGGCGCUGGGGCUCAAGGAGGCGAUUGGAGUGUUCAAGAUCACAUGGUCUGAUGUGUGA
rnacentral:rRNA from 1 species